AUUGAUUCUUGUUUAUCACUUGUGUUUGUUGUAUGUUAAAAAAUAUUUGGAAAUGGCAAGGCCAAUACUAAUGUUGUUGGCUCAUUGCCUACUCUCAUUAAUUGAAUUAAAAAUCUAAUUGCUCAAUUGCUUAAAAGGCUUUUGUGCACAUUUCAUUCCCUUUGCUAUUGGGUUGAAUUUGAGUUUGGGCCCCUUUUUUGACAGUUUAAACCUUUUGUUGUGGGUUUAAAGUCUUAAGUUCAUACAUUAAUUGAUUUUCAAUGUUAUUG
rnacentral:misc_RNA from 1 species